rnacentral:rRNA from 1 species
CCUACGGGAGGCAGCAGUGGGGAAUAUUGCACAAUGGGGGAAACCCUGAAGCAGCGACGCCGCGUGAGGGAAGAAGUAUUUCGGUACGUAAAGCUCUAUCAGCAGGGAAGAAAAUGACGGUACCUGACUAAGAAGCCCCGGCUAACGACGUGCCAGCAGCCGCGGUACUACGUCGGGGGCAAGCGUUAUCCUGAUUUACUGGGUGUAAAGGGAGCGUAGACGGCAGCGCAAGUCUGGAGUGAAAUCCCAUGGCUUAACAAUCGAACUGCUUUGGAAACUGUGCAGCUAGAGUGCAGGAGAGGUAAGCGGAAUUCCUAGUGUAGCGGUGAAAGGCGUAGAUAUUAGGAGGAACACCAGUGGCGAAGGCGGCUUACUGGACUGUAACUGACGUUGAGGCUCGAAAGCGUGGGGAGCAAACAGGAUUAGAUACCCCAGUAGUC